rnacentral:sRNA from 1 species
AAAAAUACAAAAAAAC